CAAAUUAUUAGUCGCUAACAAUUAAAAGGGAUCAAACGAUUGUGUAAGGGACAAACCUCUUGAGACAAAGUCCCAAAAAGGGGUGUUCUUUUAUUGGCGAUGACUUUACAAUUGGAAAUGAAAACAACGUGCCUCCAAGGGGUGCAAGCACACGAGUUACUGAAAGAAAAGUGUUUAAAUCUAAAAACUAAGGAAAUGAAAAUUACAUAUUCUCUGUUCGAGAGUUUUGGAUUCGGUCCUUUGCUUCUAUGUCCUUUCUCCCUUUUAUACUUCAUAGACGAUCUCUUUGUGAUCAACUACUCUAAAAACUGCUUAAUCGUCAUAUAACUAUCCACUUUCUUCGUAAUGGCUACCUUGUCAUGAAAACUGCAUUUUAACUGCUGCCAUUACCCUUCAUCGUUCAACCGCUUUCGAUUGAAUUCCUUGAAUCGUGGAACGUGAUAGGGCUGCUUUAAUAACCGCUUUGAUAACUGCACUUCUUGAUAACCACGACGCGUUAUGUUUGUUAAUACCUUAGGCGACUUGAAGGUUUGGGCGAGAAUAGAGUAACAGCUCUGGGCGACUGUAUGACACUCCAUUCGCUCAGAUUCUGGGUGACUUGCAAACUUAGGCGAUGGCGUUACCGCGUUCUUGGCCCUCCUUAUUUGGGCCUUCAUCUUGAUUUGUUCGAUUGUGUUUCGUUCUUUGGGCUAUCUGAUUUGGGGAUUCUCCAAUUGGGCUUCACUCCUUGAGCUGUUCGAUUUGGGCUGAAUUUUUAUGUGUCAACAAAUAUAUUUAGAGUUGGGAGGUUGAAGCAAAAUCCUUGCCACCUUCUAAAAUAUGCACCCAUAAUCAAUGGCGAAUCCAGGAGUUUGAGUCAGCAUGGGCGGACGUUGACG
rnacentral:lncRNA from 1 species